rnacentral:rRNA from 1 species
AGAGUGGCGGACGGGUGAGUAACGCGUGGGAAUCUACCCAGUAGUGGGGGACAACUACCGGAAACGGUAGCUAAUACCGCAUACGCCCUAUGGGGGAAAGGCUUCGGCCGCUAUUGGAUGAGCCCGCGUCAGAUUAGCUAGUUGGUAGGGUAAAGGCCUACCAAGGCAACGAUCUGUAGCUGGUCUGAGAGGACGAACAGCCACACUGGGACUGAGACACGGCCCAGACUCCUACGGGAGGCAGCAGUGGGGAAUAUUGGACAAUGGGCGAAAGCCUGAUCCAGCAAUGCCGCGUGUGUGAAGAAGGCCUGCGGGUUGUAAAGCACUUUCAGUUGGGAAGAUGAUGACGUUACCAACAGAAGAAGCACCAGCUAAAUCCGUGCCAGCAGCCGCGGUAAUACGGAUGGUGCGAGCGUUAAUCGGAAUUACUGGGCGUAAAGCGCGCGUAGGCGGCUAAGUCAGUCAGAAGUGAAAGCCCCGGGCUCAACCUGGGAAUUGCUUUUGAUACUGCUUAGCUAGAGUUUGGUAGAGGAUAGUGGAAUUCCAGGUGUAGCGGUGAAAUGCGUAGAUAUCUGGAGGAACAUCAGUGGCGAAGGCGACUGUCUGGACCAAAACUGACGCUGAGGUGCGAAAGCGUGGGUAGCAAACAGGAUUAGAUACCCUGGUAG